rnacentral:tRNA from 1 species
UCCCUGGUGGCUCAGAUGGUAAAGCGUCUGCCCUGCAAUGCGGGAGACCCAGGUUUGAUCCCUGGGUUGGGAA